UGUUUUGAGCUUAGUUCGCUGUGGAGCUCAUGAAAACUCAACAGUUAAGUGUGCUCAGGGGGGAGUAGUACUAGGAGGGUGACCUCCUGGGAAGUCUCCACCAGGGCAA
rnacentral:rRNA from 1 species